UACGGGGGGGGCAAGCGUUGUUCGGAAUUACUGGGCGUAAAGCGCACGUAGGCGGAUUAGUAAGUCAGGGGUGAAAUCCCGGGGCUCAACCUCGGAACUGCCUUUGAUACUGCUGAUCUCGAGUCUGGAAGAGGUGAGUGGAAUUCCUAGUGUAGAGGUGAAAUUCGUAGAUAUUAGGAAGAACACCAGUGGCGAAGGCGGCUCACUGGUCCGGUACUGACGCUGAGGUGCGAAAGCGUGGGGAGCAAACACG
rnacentral:rRNA from 1 species